rnacentral:rRNA from 1 species
CCAGCAGCUGCGGUAAUUCCAGCUCCAAUAGCGUAUAUUAAAGUUGUUGCAGUUAAAAAGCUCGUAGUUGAAUUUCAAGGGUUUGAAAUUUUUCUUUUGCUUAGGAAUUGAUUGGAGCAAUCUGGUCUUUUUCUGAGUAAUUAGAAUGGAAAACCUUUUUCAAUUGUCGAAAGGAUCAAGAUGCUCUUCAUUGAGUGUUUUGAAUUCAUCUUUUCGAUCGUUUACUUUGAAGAAAUUAGAGUGUUCAAAGCAGACAUUUUUUGUCUUGAAUACAUUAGCAUGGAAUAAUGAAAUAGGACUCUAUACUUAUUUUGGACGUUUCGGUUUGAAGUGUAGGGUAAUGAUUAAUAGGGAUAGUUGGGGGCAUUUAUAUUUCAUUGUCAGAGGUGAAAUUCUUGGAUUUAUGAAAGAUAAACUAAUGCGAAAGCAUCUGCCAAGGAUGUUUUCAUUAAUCAAGAACGAAAGU